AUGGCUUCCAAGAUCGCCAGCAUGUCCUCCUCCCUUGUGGCGCUCCUCCUUGGCGUGCUGCUGCUCUCGCGCGGCGGCAUCAGCAACGCGGCGCGGCACCUGGAGGAGGCGGAGUUGCCACCAUUGCCCAAGGGUGAGGAGCGACCGAAGACGGAGCUGCCCCCGCUGCCAACGGGUGAGAUCGCACCAGAACCGGCUCUGCCGCCUCUUCCUACAGGCGACCUUCCGCCCAAAGGGCUACCCAAGAUAGACGAGCCGACGAAGACGGAGUUGCCUCCACUCCCGACCGGUGACCUUCCGCCGAAGCCAGAGGUCGAGCUGCCACCCAAGACAGAGGAGCCACCGAAGCCGGAGCUGCCACCCAAGACAGAGGAGCCACCGAAGCCGGAGCUGCCUCCACUCACUACCGGUGAGCUUGCACCGGAGCCGGCGCAGCCGCCACUGCCCAAGCCCGCGGAGCCAAAACCAUGA
rnacentral:rRNA from 1 species